rnacentral:rRNA from 1 species
ACAGCUCAAAUUUGAAGGCUAGCUCUUUUAGGGUUCGCAUUGUAAUUUGUAGAAGAUGCUUCGGGUGUGGCCCCGGUUUAAGUUCCUUGGAACAGGACGUCAUAGAGGGUGAGAAUCCCGUAUGUGACUGGGUGCUUUCGCUCAUGUGAAGCUCUUUCGACGAGUCGAGUUGUUUGGGAAUGCAGCCCAAAGUGGGUGGUAAAUUUCAUCUAAAGCUAAAUAUUGGCCAGGGACCGAUA